AGGACUAACGCUGGCGGCGUGCCUAACACAUGCAAGUCGAACGAGGUAGCAAUACCUAGUGGCAGACGGGUGAGUAACACGUAGUCAACCUUCCCGAUAGUGGGGGAUAACUAGCCGAAAGGUUAGCUAAUACCGCAUACGAUCUUCGAGUGGCAUCAUUUGAAGAUGAAAGGAGCAAUCCGCUUUCGGACGGGACUGCGUCCCAUUAGCUAGAUGGUGGGGUAAUGGCCUACCAUGGCAACGAUGGGUAGCUGGUUUGAGAGAGCGACCAGCCACACUGGGACUGAGAAACGGCCCAGACUCCUACGGGAGGCAGCAGUGAGGAAUUUUCCGCAAUGGGCGAAAGCCUGACGGAGCGACGCCGCGUGUGGGAAGAAGGCCUUCGGGUCGUAAACCACUGUCGAAGGGGAAAUACUGAUGGUACCCUUGGAGGAAGCCCCGGCUAACUACGCGCCAGCAGCCGC
rnacentral:rRNA from 1 species